rnacentral:piRNA from 1 species
UGCUACAAUAUUUCUAGGCUUUACUGUCCAG